UACCCGCAGCACAAGUGGUGGUCAUUAUUAUUGGGCCUAAAGCGUCCGUAGCUGGCGUGUUAGAUGCCUGGGUAAAUCGAUGCGCUCAACGCAUCGAAUUCCGGGUAGACCGGCACGCUCGAGACCGGGAGAGGCGUAGGGUACCCGGGGGGUAGGGGUAAAAUCCUGUAAUCCUCCGGGGACGACCAGUGGCGAAGGCGCUACGCUAGAACGGCUCUGACAGUGAGGGACGAAGCCCUGGGGCGCAAACCGG
rnacentral:rRNA from 1 species